rnacentral:rRNA from 1 species
UACGAAGGGUGCAAGCGUUACUCGGAAUUACUGGGCGUAAAGCGUGCGUAGGCGGUUCGUUAAGUCUGAUGUGAAAGCCCUGGGCUCAACCUGGGAAUGGCAUUGGAAACUGGCGAGCUAGAGUGCGGUAGAGGGUAGUGGAAUUCCCGGUGUAGCAGUGAAAUGCGUAGAGAUCGGGAGGAACAUCUGUGGCGAAGGCGACUGCCUGGACCAGCACUGACACUGAGGCACGAAAGCGUGGGGAGCAAACAGG